GUACUACUCUCAGAGUUUGAUCCUGGCUCAGGACGAACGCUGGCGGCGUGCCUAACACAUGCAAGUCAACGGGGUAAUUACUUCGGUGAUUACUUAGUGGCGAACGGGUGAGUAACGCGUGAGGAACCUGCCUCUCAGUGGGGGACAACAGUUGGAAACGACUGCUAAUACCGCAUAACGCAGCGAGACCGCAUGGUCUUGCUGUCAAAGCUUUAUGUGCUGAGAGAUGGCCUCGCGUCUGAUUAGCUAGUUGGCGGGGUAACGGCCCACCAAGGCGACGAUCAGUAGCCGGUCUGAGAGGAUGAACGGCCACAUUGGGACUGAGAUACGGCCCAG
rnacentral:rRNA from 1 species